CAGCAGCCGCGGUAAAACGAAGGGUGCAAGCGUUAAUCGGAAUUACUGGGCGUAAAGCGUGCGUAGGCGGUGAGUUAAGUCUGCUGUGAAAUCCCCGGGCUCAACCUGGGAAUGGCAGUGGAUACUGGCUCGCUAGAGUGUGUCAGAGGAUGGUGGAAUUCCCGGUGUAGCGGUGAAAUGCGUAGAGAUCGGGAGGAACAUCAGUGGCGAAGGCGGCCAUCUGGGACAACACUGACGCUGAGGCACGAAAGCGUGGGGAGCAAACAGGAUUAGAUACCCGCGUAGUCCCUGUCUCUUACAC
rnacentral:rRNA from 1 species